AAGUACGUCCUUUAUAUUUCUCCAAUAAUUUUUUUCCUUUUUAAUCUAAAUUGUCAACUUCAAUACAUGUUGAUUUCUUCCUUUAAAUUUCUGAAACUGAAGUAAUUGAUAAGUGGAGAUGAAUCCUUUAGCCAUCCACUAAAUUGAAAAGGAGUUGUCUAAUUGUAUCAUUCCUUGUCUCUUGAUAGAGGGCUUGAGAAGUAAGAAAUUAAUUAUUGUAAUGAAAUCCUACCUAGAUUUUUCAAUCUUUAUAUAUGCUUUCCCAGUUUGAGUGAAAUUGAGGCUCUUCCCCCAAUUAAUGGAAGUAUUUGAAGAGGAAGAUAAACCUCCAUCUGCUAAUAUUGAGUUGAUUGUUUCAGUCCUGCAGCUUAUGAUUUCAUAUUCCCAUGCCUACUUCUAUCCUUUUGUUGAUAAGUUUUUUUGCUGAAGUUUAUAUGGACAAUUCGUUCAUCUAUUUACCAAAAUUAUAUAGUUCAAAAGUGCACAAAAUUUCUUUUGAAGCAGGGGUUCACAAAUUUGAAAGAAUUACGCUUGCACCAUCUGCCUGACACGAGGUGUGUAUGGAAGGGUCUGAGCAAAUUGACUACUUUGAAGGUAAUCUAUCUGGAUAAAAAUUAGACAAGUUUGUCCACUAAAACAACUUUGCACGUAAUAAAAAAUGUUUUUUAUACAAAAGUACAUCAAAUAACUUCACAAAAAAAUUAUUAACAUAUAAGAGCAUAAAUUUUGUGUUGAAAAUUAUUAUUACAAUAUCUUUAAAAAUUUAUUAACUUUAUAACUAAAAUAAAAAUAUUAGUUACUAUUUUUAUUUUUAUUUUUUACAUGAAACUAAUUAUUAGGAGUUGUAGUAACCAUUUUUCGCAAAAAUCUAAUUAAUAUUUAACUUAUCUCUAAUUAAGAAAAAAACUAAAACAAUAAUAUGUAAUCUCUAAAAAGUAUUUAAUCCUGUUUUUUUCUAUUUUUUUCUCCUAUUUAUACAUCAUAUAAAUUGUUUUUAUGAGAGUGAAAAAAUAUAAUAUUGUUCUCUGAUAAGAUGGCCGCCAUGGGCAGCAAAACGGCUUCUUACAAAGAUUAAAAUUUGUACGAGUGGACGAUUGUGGGGAUGUUCGCACUCCGUUUCCAGCAAAAUUGCUGCGAGCUUUGAACAAUCUAAAGAAGGUGAUUGUUGACAGCUGUAAAUCAUUGGAAGAGGUAUUUGAAUUAGGUGAGCCUGAUGAAGGAAGCAGUGAGGAGAAGGAGCUACCGCUUCUGUCAUCUUUAACAGAGUUACGGCUGUCAUGUUUACCUGAGCUCAAAUGUAUAUGGAAGGGGCCAUCUAGACAUGUCAGCCUUCAAAGUCUUAAUCGUCUGAAUUUGGAGUCUCUCAACAAACUGACAUUUAUCUUCACACCGUCCCUCGCUCGAAGUCUGCCAAAGCUAGAAAGACUUUACAUAAGUAAAUGCGGUCAAUUGAAGCAUAUUAUCAGAGAAGAGAAUGGUGAAAAGGAAAUAAUUCCAGAGUCUCCUGGGCAGGAUGAUCAAGCUUCACCUAUCAAUGUUGAGAAGGAGAUAGUGCUUCCUAAUCUAAAGGAGUUGUCGCUAGAACAAUUAUCAAGUAUUGUCUGUUUUAGUUUCGGAUGGUGUGAUUAUUUCUUAUUCCCUCGUUUGGAGAAGUUGAAGGUCCAUCAAUGUCCAAGGCUGACCACAAAAUUUGCUACUACACCAGAUGGUUCAAUGAGUGCUCAAUCAGAGGUGCUGCUGAUUUGACUUGAUUUCUUGCCUCUCUUUUAGUGUGUUUGUUUCUUGUUUGGCUCAAUAAUAAGAUUUACAAGUUAAAAUGAGCAUGCCAUGCUUGAAUUGGUUUACAGGUAUCUGAAGUAGCUGAAUAUUCAAGCUUUAAAAGAGAGUGGACCAGAAAUAAUGGGUGGAAAGAAGUAGAAGAAGAAGAAGAAGAAGAAGAAGAUGAUGAUGAUGUUGGGUCAGAAGAGGAAGAGGAAGAGGAGGAAGAAGAAGAAGAUGAUGAUGAUGAUUGCUAGUCUAAUAAUUCUUUCUUGCCCAAACCAGGUGAUAUAGCUGCAAUUAUUUAUCCUCUCCUUUACCCUUAAAUUUUAAUGGUUGAAUUAAAUCAUGGAUUGUCUUUUUUCUUCAUGUUUGCAUCAGGCAAGGUUGGUUAGCUGUUACAUGAUUUCAAGGUUGGUGCUGCGAAUAUGUUUUAGAUUUGGUGGGAAUUAAUUCCAACUGUUCCAUUGGCAAUGGGAUACAAAUUGGCUUCACAUUGCUGAAGAAGUUAGAAGAAUUGUUGACAGCACAGGAGUAAUGUCAUGUUGUGUAUUUAGUCAUUACUGUGCGAACCUCAAAAAAACAAUGUUGCUUGCGCAUUAUCGUACAAGCCUCCAGAAGUAAGGGCGCAUGUUUGCUUGCCCAUUUGUGUUUCUUUUGGUUUAAUGUGUGGACUUUCAUGCGUUCUCCUUUCUACGACUUGAGUAUUUUCUGCAUCAGCAUGUUUUCUCUGCAGUUUGAUGUUCUGUUUCUAAUGCAUAAUGCAUUUUUAAAAAUGUUAUUGUAUGAGCAUGUGAAUAUAUUUGGGCAUUCAAAUCUCCAGAUGACUGAGACUUGAUGCUGAACUCUUUGUUCAAAAGUUUGAUACUGAUAUCAUGUUUUCCUAGCAGAGCAAUCUUAUGUUGAAUGGUUUUUUCGAGCAGAUACUUUUAAUCUUAAAGGUCACUUUUCUCCUUCUUCUUUUUAAUCUUAAAGCUCACUUUUUCUUACCAAGAUGAAAAUAAAGUUUAUUCAUAUAAAAUAUAAAAAAAACAUAUAGAUAUUAAAAAAAAUCAUUAAAAUCAACCAUUUUUAUGGUAAAAAUUAGUGCCAACUGAGACUGUAAAACCCCGGGUAAUAUUAUUGAUAUUAAUAAAAGUCAAGAUUACAAAAAAUAAGAAAAAGUGAUAAAUUAAAUUAUAAGAAUGAUGAUAUAUUCGAGAAUCUGAAUUGGAAUGUUUUGUUCAGGUGUUAAAAUAUAUGUAAAAAAUAAAUAUAAAUAAAUAAACAUGAAAAUGUGAAUAAAAUUUUUAUGAAAAUGAAUUUCAUGAAACUGAAAAUACUAACGAGUAACUGAGUGAAAUUUGAAAUAACCUGGAUAAAAUUUGGUAUAAACAGGCAUUAGGAUUCAAGAAAUUUUACCCAAAAAUCAUAAAAUUUACUAUUAAGGAAUAUAGAAGGUAUUUUUAAAAAGUUAAGUAAUUAUAUGUGUGUAGGGGGAAAGAAAAAAUUGAGGGAUGUGGAAGGUAUUAAAAAAAAAGAGUUAUAUAUACGAGUGCAAGUGAGUGUGUGCUAUAAGGAAACAAAAAAAAAAACUUGCUUUUUCAAAGAGAAGGAAGCAUUCGGUCAGGAGAGGAAAAACAAAUUCAAGCAAGGAAAAUUUUUCAAUUUAAAAGUGUUAAAGCUUUGGUUAUUGCUUGGUAAGAUGUCCUCACACUUUUAAAUAAGAUUCUCGAAGAAUUUAUGCUUUAAAUUGAUUGAACUUUGUGAAAUGAGGAAUUAGGGUUCAUGAUAAAUUUUAGAGAAAAUUACAAUUGAUUGUGAAAUUGUGUUAAGAUUAUUGAAGUGAGUAGGGAAAGUAAGAAAUUAUGGUAAUUAAAGCAAAAUUUUAGGUGUUCUUGAAGAAGGGAUUUUUGGAAAAAUAAUAAUAAUAAAAAUAAAAAUUUAAGAGUUUUGAUAGGAUGAUGAGAUUGUGUAAGAAAGAGAUGAUAUUAAUGUUAAAGAGUGAAUAGAUCAUAAAAUUUUUUUAUGUUUUUCUUUGAUUUAAAUUACGGUAAAAAUUAAAUAAAUAAAUUUAAAGAAUAUAUAUAUUGAUUUGAAUGAUGAAAUGAAUUGUGUUACAAUGUGGAAAUUGAAAGAAUAGGAAGGAAAUUUACAAAAUGAUUUUAUUUUGGCAAAUAAAAGGAUAAUUGGAAUGAUUUUAUUUAUUGAGUGUUUCAAUAUGGAAAGUAGAAUAAUGAUGUGAUAUACUUGUCAAUUCAAGAAAGGCUGCCAGGCCGACACUACAGCAGGAAAUUUCAGCUCGAGUUUAGUCAUCAGGUAAUUACACGGUACGUGAAUUUAUUAUUGGUCAAUAUGUAUUUUUAUUUGAUUAAUUAUGGUUGAUAAAUAUGAAAUUAUUAUAUUGUUUACUUUAGAAAAUAAGAUAUGCGAUGUGAUGAAUUAAUUCUUGAACUAAUGGGAUUAAUGCCUUGGUGAAUGGGCGUGAUAAGGAAUUAAUUCUCUAGUUAAUGGGAUUAGAACCCUGGUGAAUAGGCAAAUCGUUGAACUAAUUCCUGAAUUAAUGGGAUUAAUGUCCUGGUGAAUGGGCAUGAUGAGGAAUUAAGUCUUUAGUUAAUGAGAUUAGUACCCUGGUGAAUGGGUAAAUCGUUGAACUAAUUCCUGAUUUAAUGGAAUUAGUGCCCUGGCAAAUGGGCGAGAUGAAGAAUUAAUUUCUCUGGCUAAUGGGAUUUGUACCUGAUGAAUGGAUGAAACGUUAAACUAAUUUUUGGAUUGAUGACAAUAGUGUUUGUUGAAUAGACUGGUGGAAAAUCAAUCAUCUAUUAGUGAAAGUAAUGUCGGGUUAAUUGAGUGAUAGGAAUAAUUAUAUUUUUGGUUGAUAUUAAAAAAGAAAAAAGAAAAAGAAAAAGAAAACAAACUCAUAGAUUAUCCAUGUAAAGCCAUUGAUAAUAACCCUUUAAAAAGGUUUUAAGUAUGAACACAUGAAAAAAAUAGGUGAUUACCAUUUGACACAAAAAUCAAUGAUUUCGGUGGCCAAAAACUUUUUCAACAACUUUUUCUCUUUAAAUUGAAAUCUGACGAUCAUCUCUUUUUUCUCCACCUAAAAAAAACUUAAAAAAGAGAAAAAUAAAGUUUGGUAUCAAGAUGCAAUGUUGGAAAAUUAUAGGGACUGGUUACUUAAUAGCUUAAAAAGAAUGUGUUAGUGAUUGUUUUUUAAAAUAUAUUUUUUUUCAAAAAUGUAUUAAAAUAAUAUGAAAAUAAAAAAAAUAAAAAAAUCUAAUUUGUUUCAAAAAUACUUUUAAAAAAAAUAAAGCAAAAACAAAGGCUCUAUUUCACUUGAUACUUUUACCCUUUGGCACUCGGCACUUGCCGUGUAAUAAUCUCUUCUUUCUACAAGGCUGGCCCCUACGUGACCUUACUUUCUUCCUUCUUUGUCCCAUUCCUUUCUUUUUCCUUCUUGCCCUUGCCGUGAUUUCAGCCCCUUCUUUUCUCUCCUUAUAUUCUAACAACUACUCUAUUAUCCUCUUUUUCAUACUAAUUCUCAAAUUUUCUACAAUACUGGCCCCUACGUGACCUUAUUUUCUUUCUUUUUUUGUCCCAUUCCUUUCUUUCUCUUUCUUUUCUCUCCUUACUUAGCGAGAUGGUCAUCAUAAACAAUUACUUUUUAUUGCUUGAGUUUGAUCCUUUUUGUGUUUGUUCCAGUAAUUCUACUUGUUUGUAAGUCUUUCCCCUUGAGUUAUAAUUCUGAAGAAUUAAAUAAAUUUAUUUUAUUUAAAUUAUAUAAAAAAAUAAAGCUUGAUUUUUCAUUUAAAAACUUGCUUUUAACUUAUUUUUUAUCUAAAAUAUUUAUAAAACACUCUAUAAACCUUAUUAAACCAAUACAGUUAAGAAAACAAAGAGUCUCUCUCCCUGUUUCUGUCCUAUAUUUAUGUGCUUUGAUUUGAACAACUACUCUAUUAUCCUCUUUAUUCAUACUAAUUUUUAAAUUAGCUUUUAAAAAAAUUAAUUUGAAAUAAAAAUAAAAUAAAAUUUAAUUUUUUAAAAAAAUACUUUAGAAUAAAUAAGAACAAACACGUUAUUUCUCUCCUUAUUCGCUGCUGUCAUUUCAGGUCCUCAUUUCCUGCAUUAUUUGGAAGAGUAUGAAAAAAAAAUAAAAAUAUCAAAUAUUAGUUUCGCAAGCCCCAUCCUGUUCGCAAUCCAAUAUUACAAAGAAGUGGAAAGUAAAAGGAAGGAAAUGAUUAUGUUCAUGUCUCUUUUACUUUCGAAACAAUGAAUUAAAGCAAAAGCAUUAGUAGGACAACUUAAGUUUUUCAUCUAAGGAUAAAACUCAAGCAAUUAAAAGUAAUUUUCUAUGAUGAUCAUCUCUGUGUCACACACUCGGGUAAUAUGAUUGACCUAUUACAAUAUUUUUUAAAAACAAAAUACUAAAAGAACUAUGUUUUUGGUGGCAACCAUUGUGCGGUUACAUUUUUCAUCCCUCUUUUUUGGUUUUAUUUUAUUUCAGUCCUUCAAGUCUUUUUCUUUCGCUAUUUCAUCGAGUUUCUUUGCUCUUGAGUUGUUGUGCUUGCCCUCGAAUAUGCAUUAUGCUAGGAAUUACAAUUACAUUACAAAAAAAUUAUGGGUCGAUUGUUAUGAGUAAUGAGUUAUUUAGUUGAUUUUGAAAGAUUUUAGAUAAAAAUGAUGAUUUUAAGUUAUGGUUUAUUUAAAUGGUUAAUUUAAGUUAGAAAUCUUGAUAUAUCAGUAGGUUAUCUGUGUAAAUUCUGGGUUUGAGGUUGAAGUUUCAGCUUGGUCCCUCAAUUUGUGAGAAUUAUAGUUUAGUCCUUGAACUUUAGAAAAAUUAGAGAUUGGUUCCUGGAGCAUAAUCCGAGAUUCUGGACAAAAUUAAAGAUGAAUUAUGGGCAGAAUUCCAGUAUAGUUAUGAAUUUAUGACAUUUUCACUUUGAUCCUCCAAUUUGAUGAAAUUACAAUUUGACCCUAGAAAUUUGAUAAAAUUCCAGAGUGGUCCCUGGAGCAUAAUUUGAGAUUCUGGGCAGAAUUGAGGAUGAAUUAUGGGCAGAAUUCCAGUAUAGUCAUGAAUUUAUGAUAUUUUUAGUUUGGUCUUCUAAUUUGAUAAAAUUAUAAUUUGACCCCUAAAAAUAUGAUAAAAUUCCAGUUGGUCCCUAGCCUUAAUAUUAGCUUUUUUAGAUUGGUUUGAUGAAUAAUUGAUGGUUAUUUAGUGAAUUAUUAUCAAGUCUUAUUAUUUGUUUUAUUGUGAAUUAGAUUUCUGGAAAACCGUUUACUUUUUUGGUUUUUGAAAAAAAUAACUAGUUUAGUUAAAAAAUAUAUAGGGUUAUGAAAUAGAUCCUUAGUUAAGUAUAUUAAAUAGGUUAAAUAGGUUGAAUGUUCUUUUCAGAUUGGUGGAAGUAAUUCCAAGCAGAUACCUUGUUGGCUAAUGCUAGAGAAUCCAAGAGGGUGUUCAUUAAAGAGAGAACAGGCUGAGAAUCUUUUUUUCACGUUGCUGUAUAGCAUGUGAAGCUGUUUUCAUUGGCUAAGAGUAGCCCCACCCUCCUGUUAGAUAGCUUCUUUCUAAGCAGCUUAUUAUGAAACUCACUGAAAUUGGUAAUAUGAGAAUAGAAACCCUCAAGAAAGUAUAAAAUGAGGAGCAUGGAUUUGUUUGGAAAAUGUUAAGGAAUUGACAAUGGAAUCUACUUUUAUUAGACUAUGUGUGAAAUAUUCAGUUUUUCGUAAUGUUGUUUUGCAAUAGAAUCAGUUGUUUAUAGAAAUCCCAAUGAGCAACCCACUAAUAUGCAGUCCGAGAGACUUUGUCUUGAGUUUCGAAGUAGAAUUUCUUCAACUUUCAUUAUAGAAAAUAUGAUAAAAUCAAAAUAGCAAAACAAGAAGAAAGAACAGCAGCAUAGAAGGGAUGCAGUGCAGGUUCCUAUUAUAGAUUUUUCAAUCACAGAAAAAAAGGUUGCAAUGAUGGAAGACGUGAACCAUUAGGCUUACAAGAGAAUUAUUUAAACAAGUAAAGCAAUCAGCUGAACCCUAUAAGAUCUGCUACAAUUAAUCUUCAGAUUUGAAGUUAACGUAACGUCAUCUUCCUUAAUUUCUGAUAGGAUUUUGACAGCUUUUCAUUAGGAACUGAUAAGUCUUCAUGUUGAUUUGUAGGACUUGCAGGUUUAUGGUUUUAUAAAGGAAAAAUCAAAGUCAAUGUUUAUAAAGGAAUGAACGUUCUUACUUUCAUUAUAUAUGGGAGUCGGAUUAAAAAAAAAACACAAUAAUGCCCGCCCGCCACUCUCCAUGUCUUUGUUUUCUAAUUUAUUUAUUUUACAUUUUAUAUCAUCAAAAACUUUUUUUUUUUGUUAAGAAAAAUACAUGAAUCAGAUUACACAAUUUUGAUGAAAUAUAUAUUUUUCCUCUUGUAGUCUUUUCUAUGAAUUUAUUGCAUAAUUAAAUAAAAAAAACAUAUUACAGAAAGUUAGAUUAUAAAAAGUACUGGGACAACGGUGCGCAUCUACACUAGUUUCUAUGUUAGAUUGCUUGGAUCUAAUAGUUUGGCUAGCUUUCACAAUCAUAAUUUCUUAAGAAAAUAUGAUAAAAUCAAAAUAGCAAAACAAGAAGAAAGAACAACAGCAUUAAUCAGCUGUUUAUUACAUUUUUAUUGUUGUGUUUUAAUGAUAUGAUUUUACAAUGGUAGGAGUGCUUAGUCUGUGUGAACAGCAGAACAAAGGCUGCCCACUUCCUCGAACUUCUUUGUUUCUUUCCCUUCUUUUUCUUUUUCUUUUUCUUUUUCUUUUUCUUUCUUUUCUUAGAGGGGAAAGAGGGUUGUGCUGCUCGUUUCAUUUCAUUUUUCUUGGAAACCAUACAGAAAAUUCUUGGAUCUGUUCAUUGUUUUCUAGCUAAUAGUCUUUUUCUCUCAUUUACUCGGUUUCUUUGGGUGCGGACUAGUUCUUUUGGUCAAGUAAUAAUCUCUUCUUUUGUUCUAUUGAAAUUCUUGACGUUUUGGUCGGGAAUAAGUUUAGCUCCUUUCGCUGGCUUGUCUAGAAAAUUAAGGGAAAGUAACAGAUGAAGUAUUUAAUCAUUUACCUAAUUAUAUUUAAUAAAUUUAUAUAUUAAAAUCAAUUUAUAAUAAAAAUCAAUACACAUAUAAUUUUUUUUAAUAUCAUAAAAGAAAAAAAAAACUAUACAAGGCUACACAUAUUUAAAAUAUUAUAAAAAUUAAAUAUUUAAUCUAUCUUAAAUAUACAAAAAAUAUUUACAAAUGAAUCAUACUAACCUCUUAAAAAAUUAAACACAUCUAACAAAAUUAAAAAUAAUUGAAGAAAGAUUACAUAAGGCCAAAAAAAAUCAUAGAAAAUGAAUAUUAAUGAAAACAUCAUUUUUAAAAUUAUUUUCAAAUAUAUAUAUAAAAAUGUAUCAAUAAAAAAAAUUCAAAAUGCAAUGUUGGAAAAUUAUAGGGACUUAUUAUUUAAUAACUUAAAAAGAUGGGGAACUAAAAUGAACUUUGCAAACAAAUUAUAGAGUUGUCAUCUAUUUUAAUUGAGUUUUUAACUUAACUAGUCCCCUGUCUUUUAAUUCAACUCUUAUUUUUAAAAAAAUAUGCAAUUGAAUUCUAAUUUUAAUUAAAAAGGAUCAAUUGUGGAAAAAAAAAUUCAAGUAUAAAAUUGAAAAUUUUUAAAAAAUACACCAUUUUUAUCCACAAUUAAAUGACUCUAAGUAAGUACUAAUGAACAUAAAACCCCAUUUGUUUUUUAAUUUAUAAUAUAAUUUGGUACUGUGACAUAUACUUUUAAAAAUAUUUUUUAUUUAAAAAUAUAUUAAAAUAAUUUUUUAUACACAUAUUUUUUAAAUUAUAUAAAAUACUAAGAAUAUAUUAAUUUAAUAUUUGUAUAAAUUAAAUAUAAUUAUAAAAAACCACUAUGAUUUGGACAACCACUCUAUCAUCCUCUUUUUCAUACUAAUUUUCAUCUCCUAUUUUCUACAAGACUGGCCCCCCUACGUGACCUCACUUUCUUCCUUUGUCCCAUUCACUUUCUUCCUUUGUCCUCUUCCUUUCUUUCUCCUUUUAUCAUGCCGUGAUUUUAAGGUUUUUGAAGUAGUUUUUUUAAAAUAUUUUUUAAUUAAAAUUAUAUUAAAAAAUUAUUUUUUAUUUUAAAAAAAUUAUUUUUAAUAUUAAUAUAAAAAUAAAAAUUAUAUAUUUUUUAAAUACUUUAAAAAAUCAAAAACAAACACGCUAUUUCUCUCUUUAUUCAUUAUCGUGAUUUCAGGUCCUCCUCUCCUUCCUUAUUUGCAAGAGCAUGAAAGAUUUUAAAAAAUCAAACGAGCAUGGCUAUUAAAAACUAAAACCCAAAAUAUAAAUAAAGAAAAAAAUACUAUCAUAGUCCACAGUAAAUUUGUGUUUGAAUGAGUAAUAAUUUCAUUAAUUUUUUAAUUUUUUUAUUAUUAUAUUAUUAAAGUGUCCAAAGAAAUUCCAAAUAAAAGACCAAAAAAAAAAGAGUAUUUUUAUCAUAUAUUUUUUUCUUACUCUCCUCCGAUCUGUCUAUUUAUCCCAACCGUGUCUUUCCUUUUCUCUUUUUUUAAAGCCUUUUUAACCUUUCUCUCUCCCACUUUCUAUCCUUUCCUAGUGGGUACAUAAAGUUGAACACGUGGCGAACAUCUAUUAGCUUUUGAGAUUAUCUUUAUCUCCAUGUCACAAUAAAAGGUUAAACAUGUGGAGAUAAGGUUGAACAUGUGGCGAUCAUCUAUUGGUUUCUUGGAUUACCUGGUCCUUUUCUCAUAAACAUAGUUCUUUUAGCCUUUCUUCAAUACUGGCCCCUACGUGACCUUACUUUCUUCCUUCUUUGUCGCAUCCUUUUCUUUCUCUUUUGAUCAUGCCGUGAUUUUAGGGGUUUUUUUGGUUCUUUCUUCUUUAUCCCAUUCCUUUCUUUCUUCUUUUAUCAUGAUGUGAUUUUAAGAUUUUUAUUUUAAGUGUUUGAAUAAGAAGUUAUUUUUAAAAAUAUUUUUUUAUUUAAGAAUAUAUUAAAAUAAUAUUUUUUUUAUUUUUAAAAAUUAUUUUUAAUAUCAAUAUAAAAAUACAAAAUAUUAAUUUAGAAUAAAAAAAUUAUUUUUUAAAAAUAAUACUUUAAAAAAUAAAAAACAAACACCCUAUUUCUCUCCUUAUUUACUAUCGUGAUUUCAGAUCCUCUUUUCGUGCCUUAUUUGCAAGAACAUGAAAAAAAAUUAAAAAACAAAUCAAACGAACAUAGCUAUUAAAAACUAAAACUCAAAAUAUAGAGAAAAGUAUUAUUUCAGAAAAAUAAUAUUUUUUAUGUAGAUGUUUUUUAAAAUAUUUUUAUAUCUUAAAAUAUAUUAAAAUAAUAUUUUUUUUAUUUUUAAAAAAUUAUUUUUAAUAUCAAUAUAAAAAUACAAAAAAUUAAUUUAGAAUACAAAAAAUUAUUUUUUAAAAAUAAUAUUUAAAAAAGUAAAAAACAAACUCUGGUUGUUUUUGUGUUUUAAAAAUACUUUUAAACAAAAUUAAAUUUUUUUUUUCUUCAAACAACAUUUCAGAAAAAUAAACAUAAAAUAUUUGAAAUACGUACUUUCCAUAAAGUCUUAAAUAAUCCCUUGGAUCUCGACUUUAUGAGCAACAAUUUAAAGGUUGAAGCUUUGUUUUGGUGAAAACAUUUGAAGAAAAGUGAAACGCGAAGAAUGGUUGGAAGCUAAUAGUGGCAAGAGAGAGAGAGAGAGAGGAAUUGGCUCCAAAUGAGGCUUUUAUGGCAUGAUGGCCAAAGGAUGGCCAUUGCUAUUCAAGACAUAUUGGGGGUUAGCUGAAGGCGGGGAUUCUAUUGGUCAACGUAUUCUCAAUGUAGUAAAAUUAAAUGUUUCACUAUAAAUGACAAUAUUGAUACUUUAAAUGAAUAAAUAAUUUCACAUCGUUAAAAGAUGUUUUUACCUUGUUAUUUGUUCAAAAAUGGCAUGCCCAAGUUCCGGCGAACACCAAGCCAUCCAAUUGCGGUGUCAAAUAACAACCACUAUUUGAUUCAUGAACCCACUUGAACGUAGAUUGCGUGACAUUAUUUCAACUUAAAAAAAUACACCCAUUAGUACCAAAUUUCCAACAUGUAAAAGAAAUGUUAAACCCGUGAUGAAGUUGGUGUUGGGUUUGUCGAAUAGCAUACACGUAACCAAAACAAUAAAAUAAAAUUAUUUAAGAGUCUCUAGAAUCUCGUUAAACAGAUCUAGAGUUAUUUAGACAUUUAUUAUCUAAAGAUUUGAUCAUCUUCGGUUUUGAAUAUAUUUUUAAAGGUUGGGUUAUCACAAACUAGAAGUCGUCUAAUUGUCCGACCUUCAAUGGUAAUCCACACAAAUCACUAGUGAAAAAUCUCCUAAAUUCCUAUUUAGGAGAAAGGGAUUAUUAUGCCUAGAGUAUUAUCUAUUUAUUUUGUGACAUACUUAGUUUUCUUGUUUAAUAGACAACUCCUAAAAAAUAAAAGGCAUAACUUACUAUUUAUAAGGAAAUCUGAAAAACUCUAUAAAUUGAUAAAAUAUCAAUUUUUCCCUUGAAUAAUAUCCAUAUAUUAAUUUAAGAUCAUUUUAUAAAUUAACUCAAUCAAGUCCUUACUUGAUUUUUCUAGGUCUGGAAAUAUAAUCCCUAUAUUAAUUAUAUUAUAGUCCUUAAUUUCUAAAAUAUAUUUUAAUCAAGUUAUACUUAAUUAAAUAAUCACAGUUUAAUUCUUAAUAUGUAUGACCUAUUAGGUUCCUAAUAUAUUGGUCCAAAUAUAAAUUAUAAUUAAAUAAAUUAGAAUUGAAGAUUUGAAUAUCAUGUGCAUUGUUUAGUAACGUGUCAUGAUCCCCUAAAUAUUAGAAAAUUCAUUAAUGGUUUCAAUUACCGGUUUCUCAUUGUAAUUAAUACCAUUUUAUCACUAAUGUUCUUAUUUAACAUUAAAGCAUGAAACAUGUUUGCCAUGUUAAAUCAUGUUCAUUCUCUGCAUAAUAGUAAUUGAUCAUUUGAAUAAGAUUUGAAACCCUUUUUAAAUCUCAUUCCACCUUACCCAAGGAUUUCUCAGUCAAUACUAUUUGAGAACAGAUGGAACAUUUUUUCUAAUUCAUAUAGGGUGAUGAAAUCCUCUUUUGAUCACUCAAGUACCUUCAUAUAGUUCAUGAUAUACCCAAUGUCUAUCAUUUUGUUACCUCAAUUAAGAUAACAUGUAACAGGAUCAAAGCAUAACAUUCUCUAUAUAAGAUAACUUAGUAAUCUCAAGUCUAAGUAUUACAUAUACAACCGUCACGUGAGUCUUUCCAUAGACAUAGGUAAUCUCUCCAUAUGGAAUUCUCAUGCUGGUCAAUUCAGUGUACAUGUCUUAUGACAAGCGCAUACAUAUUAGUUUUGGGUAUUCCUUAUAGCUCAACUUAUGAGAAUAGUUGCUUCAUUUCAUAAAGAAAAAAACAUAAUAUGUAUCAGUCUUUAUGGCUCUAAUAAAUAUCCAGUAUUUAAGAGAGCAUCAACCAAGAACAUUUUAUGAACAAUACUUUGAUGCAUUAAAAAUCUCAUAAUUAUAACAACUUUAUAAUUUUCUUUGCAAAGCAUUUUUAUCUCAUAAACUUUAUCUAUACUCUAGAUUCAUUACUAUAAUAUUAUAUGAAUAUUAAAGUUAAAUUAAGCCUUUAUUAAUAAUAAAUAUGUAUUUACAUGAAUAUAAUAAUACCUUGUGUAACUAACUGAUUGGCUAUAAGACAUAUUAAACUAACAGUUGGUAACCAUUCUAUACCUAUGGUAUAAUCUUUUAUCAAAAAUUGAAAUUAACUAUAGAUUUACUGCUUGUCGCACGUAUGCGGCAUCACAACGAACAUGGAGAAAAGAGUAUAGAAAAAAAGGAUAAAUGUCAAAUGUUCAACCCGAAUCAUGGAGAAAAGACCAGAACACGUUAACUCAGUUGGUCAAUUAUUCAUUUUCUUUCCCUUCCUUUAUUCUAUCUUCGCUUAGCCUUUUUUGGGCUUGGGUCGAAUAAAAUUUGAUAUUAAAUUGAAGAUAAUAAGGGGCUAAAUUGAAAGAAGAGGGCUUUCCUCAAGUGAGAUAAGCUUUGGGGUCUAAUUGAAGAGUUGGUGUCAAAUUAGAGAUUAAAUUGAAAAGAUGAAAUGAGAUUUAUAACUUAAUUGAAGAGUUAUUAUCGAAUAUGUCAUAGCCUGACCAAACCUACCAGAUAUUGUCUUUUUGGGACCUUAUCGCCCUCACGGAUUUGUUCUUGGUGACCAUGCAUGAACCCAAAACGUAUCUGACAAAUCAGCAACCAACACUACUAAUAAGAUCAGCUAUCAAAUCUUUACUCGCCGAUGUGAAAUAUUAUAAAAUAAAGGAGAACGAAAUGUUGGUGCGUGUAAAGCACAUGUCAGCAUAGGAGAAAGGCUAUCGAAUUCGAGCUACAUAUAUGCGGUCCCUACUCCUUUUAAAGGUUGUCGAUGUCAUUCUGUUUGAUUUGAAAUAAGUAGUAUAUAUUGUAUCAUUUAAAAAAAAAAAGAAUAAAGUGAGACAAAUUUCAUUGCACUUAAAAUCUGGCUCAUUCUUUAUGCUCCAGAUUUUUUUUAAUAAACUUAUAAUUGGUGCCGUUUUGAGUUAGGGAUAACUUUCCAUAAUUCUCAAAAACAGGGAGCCAUGCGCUGAUCUUCAUCUCUCUUUAAUUUCCCGUUACCCAUUUCCCCCUUCCCAUCUUCCUUCCAUCGAAUCCAAUUCAUAAAUAAUUUGGGUUGCUUUUGUGGCAAUUUCAAUGAUUUACACAGCUAUCGAUAACUUUUUUGGCUGUUAAUAUCGUAGUAUUCUCUAAAAAGCCAAUGUCAUGGCAUUUCCAUGCUUUCUAAAGAAAGAAUUUAUUUAUUUAUUAAGCAAUUCAUUUAGUUUUUUCAAUAUUUAAUUUAAUUUAUAUUCUUAAUAAUAAUUUUAAUUCAAACAACAAGACAACAGAACACCAAAUAAUUUAUUGAUUUUACUCAUAACACAGCACAAUUAUUUAUUAUUAAAUAUAUAAUUUGAUAUGGUUAAUCUCACAACAAAACACAAAUCAAACUCUUAUUCUUAAACUUGCAUUAAAUAUUGCUACUUAGAAUUUAUUAAUUUGUAUUAUACACGUACAUAUAUUAUCUUUGAAGGCUUGUAUGACCUUUAUCUUAGAUAUCAUUUCAUUUUUUAUUCUUUAUUUUUAAUAAAAAAAUUCUUUCAAUCAAUUUAUUAAAAAAAUAUUUAAGUGAUUGUUCAAAUCAUUACAGUUUUUUUGGAUACUUUUCCUGGUUGUUAUUACUUUUUAUAUCAUCAAAAACUUUUUUUAAAAAAAAAAUACAUGAAUCAGACUAGAGAAUUUUGAUGAAAUAUAUAUUUUUUGUCUAUAAUUUUAUUUUGAGUGUUUUCUAUAAAUAUAUUGCAUAAUUAAAUAAAAAAUAUAUUAAAAAAGUUAGAUUAUAAAAGUAACUCGGGACAAUAUUGUUGAGCGCACCUAUACUAGUUUUUCUGUUUGUUUUUGUGUUUCAAAAAUUUUUUUGAAAAUUUUUUCUUUUUUUCUUUACUUCAAAUUAAUAUUUGUUUGGAUUUUUUAAAUCAUUUUGAUAUAUUGAUGUUAAAAAUAAUUUUUAAGAAAUAAAAAUAUAUUAUUUUGAUGCAUUUCCGAGUGAAAAACACUUUGAAAAACAACGACAGCCAUACUCUCAAAUAACCUCUUCGAUUGCUUGGAACUAAUGGUUUGGCUAGCUUUCACAAUCAUAAUUGUUUUUUAAAAUACAAUAAAAUCAAAAUAGCAAAACAAGAAGAAAGAACAACAGCAUUAAUUAGCUGCUCAAUACAUUAAUUAGCGGCGUAUUACAUUUUUAUUAUUGUAUUUUAAAUAUAUGAUUUUACAAUGGUAGGAGUUCUUAGUCUGCAUGAACAGCAGAACACCACAUGAACAGCAGAAGAAAGGCUGCCCACUUCCUGGAACUUCCUUGCUGCUGACUUUGGUGAUUUGUUCACACUACCAAUAUUUUUGCCGAGUUUCUCUGUUUCUCAAUUCAACCUAUUUCCUUAAAAAAAACAUAUGCAAUUAAGCUUAAAAAAAUUCAAUUAUGCAAAAAAAUUAAGUUAAAAUACUAGAUCGAAAACUUUCAAAAACUUUAUUAUUAAUAUCUACAUGUCAAGUGAAUAGUAAUGACCAUAAAACUCCUUUUUAUUUUAAUUUAUACUAUAAUUUUGUAUUGUGACACAUACUUUUUAAAAAUAUUUUUUAUUUAAAAAUUUAUUAAAUAUUAUAUAUAUAUAUAUAUAAUAACAAGAAAUAUUAAAAAAUAUAUUAAUUUAAUAUUUUUAAAUGAAAUAUAAUUAUAAAAAGCACUCAGACACAGUAAAAAAAAAAAAACAGCCUCCCUCCCUUGUCCUCUAUUUAUACGUGUUUUGAUUCUGACAACUACUCUAUUAUCCUCUUCUUUCAUGCUACUUUUCAAACUUUCUACAGGACUGGCCCUACGUACUCAUAGACAAUUACUUUUAAUUGCUUGAGUUUGAUCCUUUGUUGUGUUCGUUCCAUUAAUUCUACUUCUUUGCAAGUCUUUUCCCUUGUUGGAAGCGAGCUGUUAUCAUCCAUGAAGGCGUCUAAGUGAUUAUCCUCAACCUUUCAUUCGUUUCUUUCUUUGCUAGGUGAGUUCUUUUACACAUUAUUUUUCUUCAUUUCUUUGUCACUGUCUCUAUAUUACUACGCAUAGUAUCUUAAGUAUGUCAUCAAAAUGCUUAUACCUUGCCUUGUUGCUUUUGAAGCUGGAUUCCAUACAGAGCUAAAGGCCUUCUCCAUUUCAUUGAGCAAUCAGUACCAGUUCUGUAUCCUUCUCACAUAUUUUCUCAAGUUUAGGUAAUGAAAUUCCUAUUCCCAUUCUCUCUGCGCCUCUUUUACUUGCAAUGACUCACUCUCACGUUCUGUAUCCUUAUUUCUCUGAUUUUCGCACAUAAUUAGCUGCUUAUUACUUUUUUAUUGUUGUGUUUUAAUUAUAUGAUUUUACGGAAGGUAGGAGUUACCGCGUUCCUAAAAAAUUUUAAUUUUAUUUUAUUAAAAUUUAAUACGGUUGGUAUGUUUUGGAUCUGAUGUUAAAAUUAAUUUUUAAAAAUUAAAAAAAUAUUAUUAAUAUUUAUUUUAAUAUAAAAAAUUAUUUCAAAAAUAACUAAUAUCACAUUACCGAUCACACUCUUAGUAUACGUGAACAGCAGAACACCGCAUGAACAUCAGAAAAAAGGCUGCCCACUUCCUCGAACUUCUUUGGGUUUUUUUUUUUAACACUAAAAGAGGAGCCAAGUUUGACUUUUUUUUGUUUCUUUCCUUUCUUUUUCUUUGUUUUCUUGGAGGAGAAAGAGGGUUGUGCUGCUCAUUUCGUUUCAUUUUCUUGGAAACCAUACAGAAAAUUCUUGGAUCUGUUGAUUGUUUUCUAGCUAUUAGUCUUUUUCUCUCAUUCACUCGGUUUCUUUGGGUGCUGACUAGUUGUUUUUAGUCAAGUAAUGAUCUCUUCUUUUGUUCCACUGAAAUUCUUGACGUUUUGGUCGGGAAUAAGUUUAGCUCCUUUUACUUGUCUAGAAAAUUAAGGGAAAGUAACAGAGAGAAUUUAGAACCCUUUAAGAUUUUUGCCACUAUGGUUUAGUCCUUCACUUUCCCGGAGUUAUGAGGUUCGGUUAAAUGGAGAAAGGGUUGUUUCUGGUUUUGAGAUUGAGAGAUGGGGUCUUGAAAAGUGGCAUGGCUGGUGGUUGUUUAGGCUAUCGUUGUGUGGGCGCGCGGUCUAGAAAGGGUUCUUCUCUCCUUUUCAAUUCUUUUCGCUAAUGUCCCCUUGAGAGACCAUACCUACCUAUAGUAAGAUCACAUACAUAACUCCUUAGAUAAAUUAUAUGUGGUUGGAAUCGAUCGAUAGAUCAAAGGUGUUGUCAAGUGUGUGAGUGUCGACCAAGUGAUCGAUCUUUAGUGAGUAAUUCGUUCACUUGUAAUUGCUUGAGUUUGAUCUUUAGUGAGUUCGUUCCAGUAACUCUACUUCUUUGCAAGUUCUUUGUUGAUCCUUUUUUUUUUAAACUAAAAAAAUUAAUCGAUCAUUAAUUAUAUUUAUUGUUGGAAGCGAGCUGGUAUCAUCCAUGAAGGCGUCUAAGUGAUUAUCCUACACCUUUCACUCGUUUGUCUCUGCUAGGUGAGUACUUUUACACAUUAUUAUUUUUUUAAAUUUGAUUGUCACUGUCUCUAAAUGAUCUUAAUUAUGUCAUCAAAAUGCAAUAUUUUGAAUGGGAAUUACUGCUUUAACUCACAAGUGUCAGUUAGUAAACUAUUUUUGUUGGUGUACUUUAUACCUUGUCUUGUUGCUUUUGAAGCAUAAUUUAAUUGUUUGCAUGGCUUUAUUUAUGUUAUAGGUCAAUCAUAUUACCUGAAUGUGUGAUUCAGAGAUGGUCAUCAUAGACAAUUAUUUUUAAUUGCUUGAGUUUGAUUCUUUGUUGAGUUUCUUUCAGUAAUUCUACUUUUUUACAAGUCUUCUCUCUUCUUGAUUUGUUUUUUUUUAUAAAAAAAACUUUGACCAAUUUGGUAAAAAACCUAGUUGUAACCUAAAAUCUGUCUUCAACCCAUUUUAACCCAAAACACCUAGAAAACAUUUAAGGAACCUUGUUUAAUUAAUACAUAAUAAUUUGACACAAAAAUCAACUGUUUUGGUGGUCAAAAUCCUCAACAACUUUCUCUCUCUAAAACGAAAUAUGGUGAUCCUCUCUCUCUCUUACACAAAAAAAAAAACUAAAAACAAAGGAAAAUAAAGUUUGGUAUCAAAAUACAAUGACAAAAAAUUAUAGGGACUAAAAUGAACUUUGCAAACAAAUUGCAAAGCCACAACUUAUUUUAGUCGAGUUUUUCACUUCGGUCCUAUGUCUUUCAAUUCAGCCCUCAUCCUUGAAAAAAUAUGCAAUUAAGCUCUAAUUUGGAUUUAAAAGAGCUCAAUUGUGAAAAAAAAAUAAUUGAGUAUGAAAUUGGAAAUUUUCCAAAAAUUCACUAUUAAUAUCCAUAGUAAAAUGAAUAUAAGUGAAUAGUGAUGAAGAGAAAACUCCUUUCUCUUUUAAUUUAUACUAUAAUUUGGUAUUGUGGCACAUUCUUUAGCCACAAUUAGUCUUUUACUCUCAAAUCUCUAACAGGACUAUUAUUUCUAGGUUUUUUAGUGACCUUGAACUAAACAACUAGAUGACGACUUCAAAUGACCCUCAUGUCUGGCGUUUAUGUACGAUAGCGACAAUACAUAAAAGAUAACACGAGAAUCAUCGUCACAAAAUAAAAACAUUUACAAACAUUUUAAUGAAUUGUUUUAAAUCACUAUAAUUUUAAAUUCAACUACAUAAAAUAUUAUUGAUUUGAUGAAAUUUGUUUUGGUUAAGUUUUUAGUGAUUUGAUUUGAUAAAAAUUAGCUAAAUUAAUAUCAAGAAAAAAAAAACAAAACAUUAUCAUUUUAAUAAAAAUAAUUAAUUUAAAUUGAUCUACAUAAUUACAAGUUGACCUCGGCCCUGGUGACCUGUAAGUUGAUAAUCUUUUCUAAAUUAGCCCUUUUGUAAGGUCUAACAAUUACAAUAGGAAGGAAACAUUUUAUUCACCAAUGUCGUUUCCCUUAUUUUAAAUAAAAAAUGAAUUCAUUAAAAAUUAAUUAUCGAUUGAUAGCGAAGCCUGUAAAGGUUAGCCUGAUAUAUAGUUAAGGAUACACACCCUUGAAUUGAUUUUGUACAUGAAGCCAUUAGACUAGACCAUGCACCUAAAAAUUGAAGGAAUCUCAAAUUUUAUUGGUACUUAGGUAUCACAUACAGAAAUAUAGUAAAUAAAAAUAAAUAAAUAGUAAAUAGUAGUAAAUAGAAAUGAAUUAAUAAAUAGUGGGUUCCAUAGUUUCUAACGGCAAGGUCCUCUCUAUACACCAGAGCCCCUGACCGAAUCAAUGCUAUUGUUAACAUUUUGGCUCUACCCAUGAAUUUCCUAGUAGUUUACAGUAACAGUACUAUUUAAUUAUGCAGAUUAGCUGACCUUUUGAGUCCAUUCUUGCAAGAGUAGAUGCGUUCAUUUUUGGCUUUUUAAUUUAAAAAAGACUUGUCAUGCUUAACAUUUAUUAUUUGCUAUCAAUUGGGAAUUCUUUAGCAUUUUCAAUUGAAAAUUGAGAAUUGAGAUAGCUGAAUUUGCACAUAUAUCAUUGUUUUAAACCUGGUCUGGUCUCAUGGGUUAAUCCGGACCCAAUAGAUCCAAAGUUGGAAUCAAACCAGGUUUAAAAAAUAAGAAAAGUAAAAAAGCCGAGUGACCUGGUAAUCCGGUUGACUUGGAAAGAACCGAUAAAAAAUUUGGUUGUAACCUGUUGACUAUAUUUUUAAUAAAAAAAGAUAUUAUUUUGAUUUAUAUAAAAAAAAUGAAGUUAACUCAUAUGACCUGAUCAAAACUUGUGACUCGAAUUUCUUGAACCUGGUCGACCACCAAACCGAAUUUAAAAUCUCUUAGGGUUAAAAAUCAUAAAUUUGAUACACAAUAGAAAAAUAAUCUAGAUUUAUUAUUUUAUUUCAAUUGUGUUUUUUUUUCCCUGAAUGCUGUGUUUUUCAUUACGAUAUUUUAAAAAAUAUAAAAUUUACCACGCUAAUUUGAAAGAGAAAAUAAAAAAGAAAUGCAAGUGUUUUCAACUUUUGCGGGUCCGCUAAGCGUCCUUUUUCUUUUCCUAUUCUGGACUUCCUAGUGGGUGCAGACUGCUAAGAUACAAUUUUGUAAAGUGAGAAGCUUGGCUAAGGCAACUAUCUCUUCUUCAUGGGUGUCUGCUUUAAGGAAAAUUCUCGACCUUUUUUUUUUUGUAAAAAGAAAGUUAUUCUCUAGCAUUCUGUUCCUGUGUAAUAUGGACACAUCAGUCGUAGAAUCUUUGUGAAAACUGUUUAUAUUGCCUAACCAACUAGAAUUAUUACUGAAGAUCUCAUUAAAUAAAUUUAUAGUUAGGCCCCGUUUCUUUUUGGAAAGUAGUUUCUUUUUGGAAAGUGAAUUCCGGGAAAGUGAAUUCCGAUGUUUGGUAGUGUAAUGGAAAAUAAGUUGGAAAACACUUUCCAGUGUUUGGUUAUGUUAUGGAAAAUGAGCUGGAAAAUAACUUAUUAAUGUUUUAUUUUUUCAAGUUUAUUAAAAUAAUAAGGAACAAAUCUUACAAAUUAAAAAGUUGAAUGAGAAUGAAAUUGAAAAAAAAUAUAAUUUCAUAAAUUAUCUCAAAUAAAAUAAAUAAUAAUCAAAAUAAUAGAGAUCAAAUCUAAAAAAUUAAAAAAAAUAAAAGGUGAAGAAAUUAAAAUAAUAAUAAUAAACAUUUCAUAAAUUAUUUCAAAUAAAAUAAGUAAAAAUCAAAAGAAUGAGGAUCAAAUUUGAUAGAUAAAAAAUUUCAAUAAAAAAAUGAUAAGGAAAAAGCAAAUAGCAAUUAUAAAAAUAAGGACCAAAAUUAAUAUAAAAAUUAAAUUUUAAGAGAUGAAAUUGAAAAAUAAAUAUUCAAAACAAAUUAUAUAUAGCAGUCAAAAGUUUGAGGAUCAAAUUUGAUAUAAUCAGCAAAUAAUGACAUUUCUAAAUUUUUCACAACUUCCGGAAAGUGUUUUCCGCCCAAAUUUUUCAGGAAAACACUUUCCUGAAAACCAAGCCAAAUUUUUCUUUGACUGGAAAGUGUUUCCGUUGACCAACUUUUCCAAUGGCAAACAAACAUAGGAAAGUUUGGAAAGUGGUUUCCCGGAAACCACUUUCCGGAAAACAAACACAGCCAAAAAGGAAAACACUUUCCUAGAAAUCAAACCAAAUUUUUCGUUGACUGGAAAGUGUUUUCUGUUGACCAGAAAGUGUUUUCCGUUGACCGGAAAGUGUUUUCCGUUGACCAACUUUUCUAAUGGCAAACAAACACAGGAAAGUUUGGAAAGUGGUUUCCCGGAAAAUGAAUUCCGAGAAACAAACAUGGCCUUAAAGAUUUAUUAAUUAAAAAUCUAUUUUUUUUUAAAUGACUUUUUAAAGAUUAAAUUAUCGUAAAUUACUCCACACAAACCACCGAUAAAAAAAUAUUCUAAAAUAAUCUUAACUUUCAGCCUUGCAUCCAACAUUAGCUAGAACGGAGACUCGAAUCUUUCGAUAUCUUCAUCAACAAACUGAUCUUGCAGGACCACCAUACCAUGGUGUAUCUUGUACCACCAUAUCAAAAGAUGAGACAUUGCUUCUUUUUGUUGUCUUUUAAAAAGUCUAAUGCUCCACUAAUUUCCUCACCCAAUUUGGCAUAAGAUUUUAAAAAGAAAGGAAAAGAAAAACUGCCAUUUUUUUUAUGUAUAAAUAGGAGAAAAAAAAUAGAAAAAACAGGAUUCUUAUGAUUAUGCUUAUGUCUCUUUUACUUUUUGAAACAAUGAAAGCAAAAGCAUUAGUAGGACACAGUAAGUUUGUCAUCUAAUUUCUCACCAUAACCUUCACAUUUCAUCUCUCAGCCGUUUCUUUUCACACAAACUAUCUCCGGACCCGUUGUUGAUUUUGGAUCAUUUCCCAAUUGAGGACGGAAGACUACGGGGAUUGAAGCUGUGAUUUGGGAUCGGUUCAGGAUCUUCUGCUGAUAGGUUUAUUCUGCAGACUUCAAGAGGUAAGAACCUGCUCUUAUAUCAUGCAAAGAAAAAGAUAAAAUCAGAAUAGCAAGACAAGAAGAGAGAACAUGAGCUAAAGCUGCAUAAAUUAGCUGCUUAAUAAAAAGAAUACAAUUGUAUGAUUUUACAAUUGUAUUCAUAGGAGAUCUUAGCCUACAUGAACAGCAUAACACCACAUGCACAAGCCUUUUUAUUUGAAAGUAACAGCACUCUGGAUGCCAUCAAAAACCUAGUUCUUUUAUUAUUAUUAUUAUUAUUAUUAUUAUUAAUUUGUAUAAUGUAAUAGGUCAAUAAUAUUACUUCUGUGUGUGACACAAAAAUGCUUCUCAUAGACAAUUACUUUGAGUUUGAUCCUUUGUUGAGUUCGUUCCAGUAAUUCUACUUCUUUGCAAGUCUUUUCCCUUGUUGAUCUGUUUUUUAAAAAAAAAGAAAAGAAAAGAAAACUGAAAAAAACUGACCGAUCAUAGCGUAGGUUAAUAAUAUUUGUUGUAGGAAGCGAGCUGGUAUCAUCCAGGGAGGCGUCUAAGUGAUUAUCCUGAACCUUUCAUUCAUUUCUUUAUUUCUCUAUCACUGUCUCUAUAUUAUCUUAAUUAUGUCAUCAAGAAGCAUUUUUAAUGGGAAUUACUACUUCAACUCACAAGUGUCAGUUUGAACCUUGCCUUGUUGCUUUUGAAGCUGGAUUCCAUACAGAGCUACAGGCCUUCUCCUUUUCUUCCUCCCGCUAUUUCAUUGAUUGCCAGAGCUUUUCGCACAUAUUUUCCCAAAUUAAGAUAAUAAAAUUCCUUUUCUCAUUCUCUCUAUGCCUCUACUACGACUCACUCUCACGUUUGGUAUCCUUAUUUCUCUGAUUCCAGACUGGUGGAAAAUGGCUAUCGAAAGUGUGGGUGGAUCCAUUAUAUCUAAGAUUUUGAUGCUCAAUUAAAAUUACAGCUUUUUAGGUCCAAGGAAUUUUGAUGCUCAAUUGCCUUUGCAAGAACUAAACAUUGAAGGCCACGAAGAAGUGGGUAAUUGGUUGGCACAGCUACAAGUACGUAAUUUAUAUUUCUCCACUAAUUUAAAUUGUCAAUUGCGAUAAUUUAUUCUUUCUUCCUCCCAAUUUCUAAAAGUAAAGUAAUUGAUAAAUGCUUAUUUUUAUUUUUUUAUGAUUUGUUUUUUUAUCUAAACAUAUAUAAAUAUAAGAAACUUAACUGCCUCAUUGUUGUUUGCGUUAUUAAAAAUUAAUCAUAUGGAAGAACAUAUUAUCUGUUAGAUUUAACUGCCUCAUUUGAAAUAUAUUAUCUGUUAGAUUUAACUGCCUCAUGGUUUACGUAAUUUUUAUUAUCUGUUAGAUUUAUUCUUUCUUCGUCACUGCUUAUUUUUUUGUUUUAUCUAAACAUAUAUAAAUAUAAGAAACUUAAUACCAACAAUUAAUCAUAGAAAUCAUAUUAGCUUAUUUUGUGUUCAAAUAUUUAAUUCAAUUAAAAUAUCUUUAAAAAUUUAUUAACUUUAUAACUAAAAUAAAAAUAUUAGUUACUAUUUUUAUUUUUAUUUUUUACAUGAAACUAAUUAUUAGGAGUUGUAGUAACCUUUUUUCGCAAAAAUCUAAUUAUUAUUUAACUUAUCUCUCAUUUAGAAAAAAACUGAAACAACAUUAUGUAAUCUCUAAAAAGUAUGUAAUCCUGUUUUUUCAUUUUUUUCUCUUAUUUAUACAUCAUAUAAAUUGUUUUUAUGAGUGAAAAAAUAUAAUAUUGUUCUCUGAUAAGAUGGCCGUCCAUGGGCAGCAAAACGACUUCUUACAAAGAUUAAAAUAUGUAGAAGUGGACGAUUGUGGGGAUGUUCGCGCUCCGUUUCCAGCAAAAUUGCUGCGAGCUUUGAAAAAUCUAAAGGGGGUGACUGUUGAUCGCUGUAAAUCAUUGGAAGAGGUAUUUGAAUUAGGUGAGGCUGAUGAAGGAAGCAGUGAGGAGAAGGAGCUGCCGCUUCUGUCAUCUUUAACAGAGUUACGGCUGUCAUGUUUACCUGAGCUCAAAUGUAUAUGGAAGGGGCCCACCAGACAUGUCAGCCUCCAAAGUCUUAAUAUUCUGAGUUUGGAUUCUCUCGACAAACUGCCAUUUAUCUUCACACCGUCCCUCGCUCAAAGUCUGCCACAGCUAGGAGGCCUCUACAUAAAGAAUUGCGCUGAAUUGCAACAUAUUAUCAGAGAAGAGGCUGGUGAAAGGGAAAUAAUUCCAGAGUCUCCUUGCUUCCCAAAAUUAAAAACUAUCAGCAUAGAGAAGUGUGGUAAACUGGAAUAUAUCCUCCCUGUCUCUGUGUCUCCAAGCCUUCUGAACCUGGAAGAGAUGCGGAUUUUUAAAGCUCAUAAUUUAAAGCAAAUAUUUUACAGUGUAGAAGGAGAUACACUCACCAGAGAUGGCAUCAUCAAGUUCCCUAAGCUAAGAGAAUUGAAUAUUUCAAAUUGCAGCUUCUUUGGUCCGAAGAAUUUUGCUGCCUAAUUGCCUUCUUUGCAAUAUCUACAAAUCAAUGGCCACAAAGAAUUGGGAAAUUUGUUUGCACAGCUCCAAGUACGUCCUUUAUAUUUCUCCAAUAUUUUUUUUCCUUUUUAAUUUAAAUUGUCAACUUCAAUACAUGUUGAUUUCUUCCUUUAAAUUUCUGAAACUGAAGUAAUUGAUAAGUGGAGAUAAAUCCAUUAGCCAUCCACUAAAUUUAAAAGGAGCUUUCUAACUGUAUCAUUCCUUGUCUCUUGAUGCAGGGCUUAAGAAGUAAGAAAUUAAUUAUUGUAAUGAAAUCCUACCUAGAUUUUUCAAUCUUUAUGCUUUCCCAGUUUGAGUGAAAUUGAGGCUCUUCCCCCAAUUAAUGGAAGUAUUUGAAGAGGAAGAUAAACCUCCAUCUGCUAAUAUUGAGUUGAUUGUUUCAGUCCUGCAGCUUAUGAUUUCAUAUUCCCAUGCCUACUUCUAUCCUUUUGUUGAUAAGUUUUUUUGCUGAAGUUUAUAUGGACAAUUCGUUCAUCUAUUUACCAAAAUUAUAUAGUUCAAAAGUGCACAAAAUUUCUUUUGAAGCAGGGGU
rnacentral:lncRNA from 1 species